AUUUUUAUAGACUUUUUAUUUUAAUAAAAUAUCAUGGAGGAAAGAAAAACUGUUGUGGCAUGUUCAGCAACAACUUUUCUGCAAUUGCAAAAUGAUGAUGGAUUUUUUAAUGAGGUAUAGCAGCGGUACGUUGCUCAUGAGGGGAAGUAUACAUGCGGAGAUAAGAAAAUGACUUGUAAACACAUUUUUUACGCAUACUCGUUUUCGUUUUUCCUUUAUAUAAUAAUAAAUUCAACAGUUCUAAAUCAUCAUCAGGGUCACUAUCUCGACGUAUAUUAAUUACUUUU